UGAAGUAGUUAUUAAGCGUGGCCAUGUC
rnacentral:sRNA from 1 species